CCCCUAGACGUUCUGGGCUGCACGCGCGCUACAAUAAUACGCACAGCGAGUAUCACCGAGCUCGAAAGGGCAAGGUAAACAAUAGAAAAGGUACUGGAAUGGUUAUAGAUCCUUGUAAUUAUUGAUCUUCAACGAGGAAUUCCUAGUAAGUAUGUGUCAUCAUCACGCACUGAUUACGUCCCUGCCCUUUGUACACACCGCCCGUCGCUCCUACCGAUUGGGUGAGCCGAUGAAACUCUCGGAUGUAGGCUAUUCAUAGCCCGCAGAAGAGAUUUGAAUCGUAGCGCUUAGAGGAAGGAGAAGUCGUAACA
rnacentral:rRNA from 1 species